GACAGAGGGGGCAAGCGUUGCUCGGAAUUACUGGGCGUAAAGGGCUCGUAGGCGGCCAACUAAGUCAGACGUGAAAUCCCUCGGCUUAACCGGGGAACUGCGUCUGAUACUGGAUGGCUAGAGGUUGGGAGAGGGAUGCGGAAUUCCAGGUGUAGCGGUGAAAUGCGUAGAUAUCUGGAGGAACACCGGUGGCGAAGGCGGCAUCCUGGACCAAUUCUGACGCUGAUGAGCGAAAGCCAGGGGAGCAAACGGG
rnacentral:rRNA from 1 species